GUGCCGAGGAUUGAACCCAGGGCCUCGCAUGUACUAGGCAAGCACUCUACCCCUGAGCCACAAUCCUGGCCCACCUGACUGAAUUUUAGUAGAAAGGAAUCUGUACAAGUGGUGACAGCAAAGGAUGAACACAAACUCUGAACUAAUGAAAGAGGACAUUUUAUUCUCAAAACAAAUACAUUCCUAUAUUUCAUUUAAUCAUUUGCAUUUCUUCAUAAACAAACUGGAAGAUACAAAAUCCUUGAAAUUAUAUCUUUCCCAUAGAACAUGUAAGGAUUUUUCUUUAAAAUGAGGCUUAUGCCUUAAUUAGAAGCUUUUGGAGAGCCUUGUAAUUUUUUUUUUGUUGUUGUUCUUUUAUACUUUGAGACUGAGGAUAGAGAACAACUGAACACUUAAUUUUUUUAAUAGGCAGAGACAGUAAAGUUGUGUGUCUAUAGAAAAAUUUUAAGAAAAUACUCUAUGCUUUUGAUAUCAUUGCUUUUAACAUAAUUGAACCUUUGAGAAUCCCUGAAGGUUGGCCAACUAUAACUUUUUGAGGGUUAGGAGGAAGAGUUAGGUAUAUGCAGGAUUUUUUGUGAAACAAGAUAGCUUAUUUAAUUGCAGUCAAAACUCUAUGGGAAAUUUAUUUUUGCUUCUUGUUUGUUCAAUCUGACCGAUCUGAGCUUUUUCAGAGAACAUUUAAUGCUAAACUCAGCAACAAAAAAUCAGUUCUAGGAACUUGCCACUGCUCUGACUGCACAGAAGAUAGCUUUGGUUAUAGUCUUUGGUUAUAGUAUAGGCAUUGGAGGUUUUGCUGUAACCUGAACUUUCUGACCAUCACUGUGGUCUGAACUCCUUCCCAGCCACUGCAUCCUUUGAGUGGAAAGUAACUUCUGGCCUCUCAGGCAGCAAGACAAUGGUCCAGCUGCAGGUCCAGAAGCUUCAGGCAAAGGAAAGUUUCUGUUAGGAUUCGCAUGUUAGUUUCCUUUUUGGGGAAGGUCUGUUGCACACAUUUUGUUGUUGAACUCACGUGUGUUAACGUUCAGCUUCUGUAUAUCUUCAGUGAGUCCCAGUGGGCUUCCUUUUUUUCAGUAGAUUAGCCGUGUUAACAUAACCCAAAAGGAAAUGUUAAGCAAAGCAAGUGACCCUAUUUUUUAAUCUUAAAAAUUAAUUUGAAAAUAAUCCUGAAAAUGAAAUUUUAUAUAAUUUAAAAAUUAUAUAGGAGAACUUGUAGUUUUUUCAUAUAAGAUUUCUUUUAUCAAUGUUCUUUAUUAUGUGGAAUUUAUGACUUACUGGUUUCUUUCUUAUUGGGAGCACUCUGUUUCUCAUCUUUGUAAAUGAUGAUUAACUUUCUGUUGGGCCAUAGAACAUAACAUUUACCUCUGAUCGUCUACAUUUCCCUGUUGACUUUGAUUUUGUUUUUCCUCCUGAUUUUUAUAUUGUAAAUAUAUACAUAGCAGUAAUAUAUAGAGUAGGAAUAAAUUAUACAGACAUACUUUGAAGUAUCUGAUAAUGAAAAGGUGAGGUUUUGGUGGUGGAAGUAACAUAAAAGAUUGUGCGAUCCCUGUUUUAACUGCAAAUACAGCUUGGGUGAACGAUUUUCUUAAGGGAAGGAAAAAUUGCAAACCACAAAUUUAUGGUUCCGUCUCCUUAUUGCUUAAUAACAUGGCUUUACAUCUACCCCUCCCUUAAAAUGAUAUAAAAUUAAAUAAAACUAUCACUUAUUAAAUGCCUACCCUGCCAGUUCCUGUGCAAGGCACUUUCACAGACAUGAUGUCAUUUGAUCUUUACAGCCACCCAGGUGAUGAACAUGAGUGCCCGGUCUUUCGCUAGGGAAGCUGAAAUUUGAAGAAGUUAAGGAGCUGGCUCAGGGUUACUCUGCGUGAAGUCACAUGCAGGUCUGUGGACACUGAGCACAGGCUGCUCACUGCAGCAGUCAGAGGUUUUGUCAUUCACAUUCUGCCAGAAUAUAUGCAGAAACAGGGCAGCUACUUUUCCAGCUCAAUCCUGAUAUAGGCAUUUGAUAAAUUUAGCACAUAUGCUGCUCAUCAGUUAAUUGUGCUAUUUAAACCAAACCUAGUAGUUUUUAAAAAACAUCUAUGUGGAGUUUUUUGGGUUUUUUUUUGUUUGUUUGUUUUUCCCCCAGAAAAAUUAUAGCAAAACUUUUUGGCUCCCUGUAAUCCUAGAGAAAUAUGAUCUAAUAAAGCAGAUUUUACCAUUAAGUUUCCAGAAUUUCCUAUUCUUUGCUUCUGUGUUGAAGCAGGAAAGCUUAGAAUGACAGCUGUUUACCUUCUUGGAAUUCACAUGGCUAAGUUCAACAGUUCUCUCUGACAGUCUGAGAGCUCCUCUUGUAUUUCUAUGUAGACAUGAAAAUAAAUGCAUCCCUGGGAAGGGUCAGAGAAUGUUGUCUUACUCAAGUAUGGUUGCUGGUUGUGGACACACAAGAAACCUCACAUUUUCCAGGCAGUUCUGCUGUUGUCCUUUACCACUGGAAACUUGCUUGGGUUUCCCAGGAGGCUCAGCUUCCUGCCUAAGCUUGCACUGUCUGUAGACUGGGAGCUGGAAUGAGGCCUGUUUCCUAGCAGUGGCUGGACAAGAAAACUGGGCCAAUCUAAAUGAAUACAUCAGGCUGAGAGGAAGCAGGAAGGAAAGCAGAAGAGAUGGGAGGAAAGUGACCUAUCAGCAAAAGAAAAGUGGUUAGUUAUCUUUGGUAAAUAUUCUUACUUCUGAUAGAAAGCAUUAGAAUGUGUCAGGAGGUGGUUAAGAAUAUGGGCUGUGAGUUGGGCACAGUGGUGUAUGCCUAUAAUUCCAGCAGCUUGGAGGAGGCUGAGGGAGGAGGAUCUCGAGUUCAAAGCCAGCCACAGCAACUUAGUGAGGUCCUUACUAAGCAACUUAGCAAGACCCGAUUUCUAAUAAAAUAUUUUAAAAAGGGGCUGGGGAUGUGGCUCAGUUAUUAAGUGUUCCUGGGUUAAAUCCCCAGUGCAAAAACAACAAUAAAAAAUGGGCUUUGGGGUCAAACUCUGGAUUCAGGUCUGGCUCUGCUGCUGAUUGCUGAGCAACCUUGGACACUCAGAUUCCUUAACUGAAAAUGAGGAAGCAGCAGCACCCACUACCUAGAGUUUUAAAGAUUAAAUAAGAAGAUACAUGUAAAUGAUCUUGAAUAGUGCCUGGAAGAGUAAUUAUUUAAUAAUUGUCCUAAUCAUGAACCUGAAUAAGGAAAUGUUCAUUAAAAACAAAUAAUUGUGUUUGUGUAUAAUUGUGUCAGUGAAGAUUUUUCAAAGGCACUACCAUUAUUGUGAAGAGCAGAGUUUCCUAAAUAUUCUUUUAAAUGAGUAGAAGAAAAUGAUGUUUACUUCCAAUCAUCCAGGUGUGUUUGCGUACAAUAGAGGUAUUUAAUGUAAAUUUCCUUUUGCCAGUUACAGGAAAGAGUUACAUAAUUAGAAAAGACCUGGUUAUUAUGUUAUUAAAAUAAUUCAAAGGCAAAAGUGAGGGGAAUGUCUCUGCCUCUGUUUCAAGUUUUCUAUUGUCACUCUGAAGGGGUCUUCAAUGAUC
rnacentral:lncRNA from 1 species